ensembl:lncRNA
GCUUAUGGGUGUGUGUUCUUAUUUGGGACAUAUGACCUAAAAUGCAACCUUCCCUAAAGUUAUUUAGAAAAACAGAAAAAGCUCAUUCCAUACUUCGUAAAAGUUAAGCAGUUAAAAAGAAAAUGUUUAUUUUGAACUCAACAUGUUUGCUUGUUUUCACUUUUCUUUCUUGAUGUUUUCAACUUAGCUUUCUUUUUUUGUUUGUUUUUGUUUUGAGAGAUUAAGCUACCUGCUUCUAAAAAACCCACUUAGUUUUCAUGGAAACCAUUAAAAAAAAAAUUCAGCAGCUAAAUAGGGAAGAGAUAGGGUUAUUGCCCCUUUAACAGCUGAGGUUAUAGCAAGCCCAGAUCACACACUGGUUCACAUAAUCUUGGAGGUGGUUUUCCUCUCAAGCUUGCAAAACAAAAAGAACAAACAAACCCACUUUAUUACUUUUCUACCCCUUCGUGUUUGUUUUAAUUAAAUCAGUGCUUUACCUUUAGUGACAGCGAGAAGGGCCACAGACUAUCCUUCCUUAAAGCAGUUUCUUGUCUUCUUUUAGCUUUACCAGAAGCAUAGUGAGAUCAGCAAGUACAACAAAAGUUUGCCCAAAGCUCAGAAGCAAUCUGGAGGACUCAGAAUGUGAAAAGUAACAAAUAACCUUGUUGGAAAGAUGAACUCUUCAGAGCUAGUGGCUCACAGGAAUUCCAGUUGUGCUCUGUUCUCCAGGGAUGCUCUGUUCCACCCCUGCCCAGGGAAGCCAGCCACGGUCCAGUACUACCUGGGGAGAGUACAUCUGCCCAAUUCUGCCCAAAUCUGGGGUUCCUCAGAAACUCACAAUAUACAUCCCAUUAGGUCUGCUGUUGACUAGAUGUCCCAUUAGCUGUCUUCAAUACACAUGCCUCAAACGCAAGACUAUCUGAAUUCUUAUAUUUGAAGUCUUUUAGGGCAGGAUUUUUGGACAGAUCCAGCAGGCAGAAAAUCAGUAAGAACAGAGCUGAACUCAGCACCACCACCAAUCAACUGGAUAUGAUUGAUAUCACAGACUACUUCAUCCACAACAGCACAAUACACACAUUCUUCUCAAGUUCACAUGGAACAUUCACCCAGAUAGACCACAUUCUGGACCACAAAGCAAACCUCAAAAACCUAAAAGGAUAAAAAUCAUACCAUGUUUGUUCUCAUACCAUGGUGGAAUUAAACCAGAAAUCAAUAACAGAAAGAUAACAGGAAAAUCCUAAAAUAUGUAGAGAUUAAACAACACACGUCUAAAUAACACAUGGGGGUCAAAGAAGAAAUCUCAGGAGAAAUUUAAAAAUAUUUUGAAUUAAAUGAAAAGGAAAACACAAGUUAUCAAAAUUUGUAGCAAAAUUCUGAUGCAGAUGUAGUGAAAGCAGGAAUUUUAGUUGUAUUUAGUGGGAGGAAUAGGGAAAGUAUGUUUACUCCGUCUUCCUAGAAGCUGGAGUCCUCAGCUGAAAUCUUUUAGGCAGUUUUAUUUUAUCUAGAACAAAAUCUGAAGAAACUACCAUUUAUGAGAUGACUACAAUUUACACUCAAAUUCCAUUUAACUUCAAAGCCCAAAUAUUUUGCUCUCAAAACAGUUCUGACCAAAAUGUGAAAGUCUAUCCUAGGUAGGAUUGCAUUAAAUCUAUAUAGAUCUAGUUGGGAGGAACUGACAUCUUGAUAAUA